GACAGAGGGUGCAAACGUUGUUCGGAAUUAUUGGGCGUAAAGCGCGUGUAGGCGGCUUUGCAAGUCGGGUGUGAAAGCCCUCAGCUCAACUGAGGAAGUGCGCCCGAAACUGCAGAGCUUGAGUACCGGAGAGGAUGGUGGAAUUCCCCAAGUAGAGGUGAAAUUCGUAGAUAUGGGGAGGAACACCGGUGGCGAAGGCGACCAUCUGGACGGAUACUGACGCUGAGACGCGAAAGCGUGGGUAGCAAACAGG
rnacentral:rRNA from 1 species